AACGCACAUUGCGCCCUUUGGUAUUCCUUAGGGCAUGCCUGUUCGAGCGUCAUUUAAACCCUUCAAGCUCAGCUUGGUGUUGGGUGACUGUCCGCCGCCUCCUGGGCGCGGACUCGCCCCAAAUUCAUUGGCGGCCGGUACGUUGGCACGAGCGCAGCAGAAACGCGAACUCGUGCCCGCGGUGUCGGCUCCCAGAAGCAAUCUUCACAAUUUUGACCUCGGAUCAGGUAGGGAUACCCGCUGAACUUAA
rnacentral:misc_RNA from 1 species